GACGAACGCUGGCGGCGUGCUUAACACAUGCAAGUCGAACGGAAAGGCCUGCUUUCCCUUGUGGAUUGCGGGUACUCGAGUGGCGAACGGGUGAGUAACACGUGAGUGAUCUGCCCCCAACUUGGGUAUAAGCCUGGGAAACUGUGUCUAAUUCCCGAUAGGACUGCAGGGUGGUGCCUGUGGUGGAAAACGAUUUUCUAGUGGUUGGGGAUGGGCUCGCGGCCUAUCAGCUUGUUGGUGGGGUAAUGGCCUACCAAGGCGGCGACGGGUAGCCGGCCUGAGAGGGUGGACGGCCACAUUGGGACUGAGAUACGGCCCAGACUCCUACGGGAGGCAGCAGUGGGGAAUAUUGCACAAUGGGCGGAAGCCUGAUGCAGCGACGCCGCGUGGGGGAUGACGGCCUUCGGGUUGUAAACUCCUUUCGACCGCGAGGAAGCCACCUGGUUGGAAGGGUGGUGACGGUAGUGGUAGAAGAAGCACCGGCUAACUACGUG
rnacentral:rRNA from 1 species